UGCUAGUUGUCUUUUGCAGUGGGUGCUUGUACUUUGGGCAAGUUCUCUGGGCAGGUGGUUGAGUAGGCUUUGCAGAAAGGUUAAUAAGAAGCUGUGCUCAGUUGCUGUGGGUGGAAUGCUAUGGCCUCUUAACCAAUGGUUCUGGAGCAUUCUUUGCAGCAUGGGCAGCACCCUCUACUGAUCUUGUGCGCCUGGUUCUUAGCUGGUGCAGGUCAGUUAAGACCAGGAUAAUCAGUUGCUUCAUGCUGACAGUCUGCAGAUGCAGCUUUGCAGAUCCGACUCAUAGCUUCUGGUCACAUCCUAGAAAUGGUUUCUGUCUGAAGUAUCUGUUGCAUGGUGUUGGCUUCUACCAGCUAUGACACACAGUGAUGUUCCAUUUGAGAUGUAGUUAGUUUCAGUUUAAAGCAGACUUGAUCAUAAUUGUAGGGUGCUAGCAGAGGGGAUAAUCUCUUGUUUUUUCCUACCCAAAGACAUAGUGAUGAACAGGACACACCUGUUCCUCCCAGUAGGGAGCACAGAAGUAAAUCCACCAAAGAAAAAUCUGUAGGCUCAGUGAACUGAUAAUGCCAGCAAAGCUGUAUGAUGGUAGAUUCUGGAUAAAUGUGGUGGGAGUGUGCAGGGAGUGAAAGUGUUUUUGUCAGUAGUAGCCCACAGCUAGAUUAGAUUAAGUACUAUGAAGCGGUACCAUCAUCUUCAGAUGGGAGAGACAUCUACAAACACUGAGGCCGCCAGUAACUCCUGGGCCUGUGUCAUGCUUCUGACUCCACACACAUUGCUGUUUCUAACUCAGAUCCUUGACUAAGAAUUCCACCAACUAAUAGAAAUGAGCGCUCAUUUCAUGAGUGUUUCUUUAGGAAAGGAAGAAGUCUGACUUGAGUUUCCUGAGUCUUUGAAUUUAUUGCUGCUGAUGAUGGAAGUAGCAAGUACAUAUUCAAAAUGCGACUUGGUGUUAAGAUACAAUCUGCUCCAAGCUUCAAAGAGACUCCUGGCAUCUGGGAAGGAAACGAUAAGUGUUGGGUGAUUCCCCUCACUUCAUACUGCACAGUCUCUCUUUAAAGUCCUCCGUGAAUGCUGUGACUUGGCAGGUAGAAGGUCUAGUGCAGGUCUAUCAGCCUUAGCUUUACAAACCUUCAUCACCCUCCAGGAGCCUGGAACAGGGAGCUUUACUGCAGCUCAGCAGCCUUCAUCAGGGGCUCCUCUUUGUCCAGCACAACUGGGAGUUUCUCAGCUGACAGCUUUGCUCAGGACAGCAUUGCAAGCAGAUGAAAGUUCAGCGGUUUCAACCACAGUUUGAAAUCCUGGUGGUUGUUGUGUGUAUGAGAAGAAUUGCCUGAGCUCAUUUUCAUCAGUGGGAUCCUAAAAAUUGCCAUUAGAGGCCAGGGCCUCACUCAGCUGGGAAUGCGUUAUAUGAAAGCAUGCUCUUUGCUCUUGAGGCUGUACAGCUCAGGCUUGUAGCGAGGCAAUGACUAAAGAUAAAGGGAAGCAAUUUGAAGGGGCUGCAGGAGCCAUAGUAAUGUGCAGAAUGCUUAUUUCCCCUUGCUACAUGUGCUGGUGGCUGCCCCAGCCCAUGUAACUGUGGUGUGACACUUAGGUCAGCUUUUUAAACAGGGUGCAUUUUGCUCUGUGGGGUCACUUGUAUGAGGCAUUACCACAAGGUUUUCAUUCUUUCCUGCUAAGACAUUCAUUGCUUUUUCGGUUGAGAUGCUCACUGAAACAUCUCAAUUUCCACCCAAGUCAAACAGCUCAGUUGGUUUGUCACUAGCCAGAUGUACCACAGAGUGAAAAGCUGAUUUAUAACUCACUUAGUAAAUGGGUGCAUUUCAGUUAUGCAAGUUCUGAACAUUGAUGUUUGAAAAGAGGAGGUAUCACUGAAGAGCAAUUAAUGUAGUAAUCUGGAACAAAGCUGUCCUUUCAGUUGAGGGCUGCUACAGGGUCGUAAUAAAGGUCACAGCAGCUCUGGGCUUCCAGUGAAAGCAGCAAAUGGAAAUGGCAGGGAGAGAUGGAACAGAAGUAGUUGACCUACCAAUUACUCUUUCAAACUGUACCAGCUAUUUUCUUCUCAAAGGAAUUACUCUGAAAGAGCCCCUGAGUGCUGUUGCUGAAGAUUGAUUCCUUGGCAUUCAGUAACACCACUGAACUGUGAAGAUGUGGAACAGAAAACCCAGAAGUAAAAAAAAAAAAAAAGGCAGUUUGAAAACAGUGUUCUUUAAAGCCUGUGAAAUCCUCUUUGUACACUUAAAUUUCAGCUUAAGUCUUACAGAGUUGUUGUAGCCAUUUUUCAGUUUGAAGACGAUCAUCUUACUGCACAGAGGUGUCAGUCUGUCUCCAGACCUAGAAUUUGUGAGGGGCUUUGGCACUGACCAGCUUUCCUAGGAUGUCACUUCCUUACCUAGUGAGGACCAGCACCAAGGUAUCUCCACAGCUUCCUUAGAGCUGUUCCAGUUGAAUCCAUCAAGGAUAUGGCCCCAGCACUCAGGUGAUGCUGCUUUCAAUUCUGUAAAAUUAUGCAUAAAAACUCCUUGAUGUUUUUCAGAGGAAAAAGAAAAAAAGUCUUCAAUAUCUUGGCUUAGCAACCGAAAAAAAAAAGGGGUUCACCUGAUCAUUGUCAAGUUCCUCCUGUUAUGGUGUCAGGGAAAUCCAAUAAAUGUUAAACUAUGUUUUCUGGAUCUCAGUUUUUCCACUUGCAUGUGCUUCAGAGUUGGUGCUUACUAAACAGCUAAAACUCUUUAGUAACAUAUCCCAGAAAAAAAGCUGUGUUUCUGUGAAUGGAAUGCCAUUACCUUUCAGUGAUGGCCAUGUAAUUCCAUCAUGACAGGGCAGAUCUGGGGUGAAACCAGAUCAGUAAGGCAAGGCUGGGAACAGCAAGGUCUGUGGCUGUGCAUGGGUUUGCCCAUGUGGUUACUCAAGGUUUACUAGGGCCACGGCCCAAGUGCCAGGUUGGGGAGGCCCCAGGCUGGGCUUCUCCCCGCUCUCUCACUCUGCUCCUUCCACAUCACUCAGCUCCAAGGUUACUCAGCCGCACGUUAUUGGAGCCAACAUCGGCCACAGGCAGCCACACAGUUGCAAGGAGGAGGAAGAGGUGGCUGAGCCUGUUCCUGCUCCCAGGACCCUGACGAUCUCUGAGGCUGGAGCUGGAAAGUGCUAUUUUCCCACUGCUAAUCUUACCUCAUUACCGUGGUGACAAACACAUUUCCUGCAUAGUAUUUUCUUUCUCAAGUGGGGAAGAGAUGAUGCAAAUCUGGUCUGAGCCUAGGGACACAGGCACUUCAGCCAGACAAUGGACAUAAGGGAACCAGAGGAGCUGGUGGUCCCAGGCUGGAUGUGCUGUGGGGAUCAGGGUGGUUAUGGUUGGUAGGAAAGGAUGCUCAGUGGAGAAAUGAGAUGCAGGAGCACAGCUGCGAUGACAGGAAAAUACUGCUCUGUGGGGGAAAAGUCAUAGGAUUUUAAAAAAUCUCUUUUAGAUUCCUAUUUAUCACCUGACAUUUAAUCCAGGAGUUAGCAUUCUCCAUUGCAGAAAGCGCAAUUUUAAGGAAAAAGUCACUGACUAUCAUAGACUUCUAACAAAAUCCAGAGAACCGGUUUAAAUGAAUGGUAUCAGCCAAGCCCCACGAGGUCAGAUCAGUGAGGUAACCGCAUCCACUCAGGCUGCUGUCAGGAACACACCACCUCCAGAACAGCGAAGUCCCUGCUGCAGCGGAGCAGUACAGAAAAAGGGAAGGGAAACCUUUCUUGUAAGGGGAGCAGGCUGGAUCCUACCCAAUGGAGGUCACCCAAGAGCACCACCUUCACCUUGCAGCCAAAUGGAGGAGCCAAAGUUUUUAGCAAGUAGCACAACUUGCUGGAAUCAAGACUUCCAGAGCUGAAAAAAACACCAUAAAAAGUAGUAACACGUAGGCAGAACUACUGUGUGCUCCUCAUGUUGAUUAAAAUAAAGGGGAUGGGAGGUGGUGGGUCUUCCUAGCCAGCUCCUGCUCAAUCCUGAUGCCAAAAGACAGGAGCAACGCACUUGACUUUGGCAAAACAAAUGCCAUAGGAAGCAAGAGGUGCUCACGGAGCCUCUGGGGCUGGUGAACCACUAACCAGUCCUGGUGAACCUCCUCACUUCUAUAGACCGGGAGAUGCCUUUCCAUGCUUUGCAUGGCCAUGUCGGGGUGCUCAUCUGCUCAGGACAGGUCCCUUGGGGAGGGUGGGCUGGGAGGGAGGCAGCAGGGAAACCAAGCUUAGCACCAUGGAUAUGGCUGGUCCAGGUCAAUGAGCGGGAAGCCAGGAGGUGAAGGUGACCAUAGUACACGGGUGCUGGAGGAAUGUGAGACCUGUGAGGCCUUCCUGCUUGGUAACACCGACAGCCUUAUCCCAGGCAAGGGGGUGGUUUUAUCUGAAUCAUAGAGGAAAACUGAGCAUUUCUGGUGGGAGGAGAAGUGGGAGAACAGAGUCUUUCAUGACACUGUUGCUACCUUUGUUUCUGUUUUUUUCCUGCGCCAGGGGGUGGAACCGAAGACAGAAAGCAGCAAUGGUAUCGCUAAUACCAGAAAACCUGUUCUGCAGGAAAACCUGCACAUGUGUGCGGGAUGGGGAAGGAGCGGCUGACUCAUGACCCAACCUGCCCUGCACAUAGCAGGGUGGUGGGGGAUGUCAGGC